AUUGAACGCUGGCGGCAGGCCUAACACAUGCAAGUCGAGCGGAGCGGCGGACGGGUGAGUAAUGCCUAGGAAUCUGCCUGGUAGUGGGGGAUAACGUCCGGAAACGGGCGCUAAUACCGCAUACUAUCAGAUGAGCCUAGGUCGGAUUAGCUAGUUGGUGGGGUAAAGGCCUACCAAGGCGACGAUCCGUAACUGGCCUGAGAGGAUGAUCAGUCACACUGGGACUGAGACACGGCCCAGACGCCUACGGGAGGCAGCAGUAGGGAAUAUUGGACAAUGGACGAAAGCCUGACCCAGCAAGGCCGCGUGAUGGAAGAAGGCCUUCGGAUUGUAAAGUGCUUUCGGUGGAGAGGCGUUACCCAACGAGAAAGCCCCGGCUAACUCCGUGCCAGCAGCCGCGGUAAUAC
rnacentral:rRNA from 1 species